GACGAACGCUGGCGGCGUGCCUAAUACAUGCAAGUAGAACGCUGAAGAGAGGAGCUUGCUCUUCUUGGAUGAGUUGCGAACGGGUGAGUAACGCGUAGGUAACCUGCCUUGUAGCGGGGGAUAACUAUUGGAAACGAUAGCUAAUACCGCAUAACAAUGGAUGACACAUGUCAUUUAUUUGAAAGGGGCAAUUGCUCCACUACAAGAUGGACCUGCGUUGUAUUAGCUAGUAGGUGAGGUAACGGCUCACCUAGGCGACGAUACAUAGCCGACCUGAGAGGGUGAUCGGCCACACUGGGACUGAGACACGGCCCAGACUCCUACGGGAGGCAGCAGUAGGGAAUCUUCGGCAAUGGGGGCAACCCUGACCGAGCAACGCCGCGUGAGUGAAGAAGGUUUUCGGAUCGUAAAGCUCUGUUGCAAGUCAAGAACGAGUGUGAGAGUGGAAAGUUCACACUGUGACGGUAGCUUACCAGAAAGGGACGGCUAACUACGUG
rnacentral:rRNA from 1 species